AUUGUGGCUUAAAUCGAAGGUGCCGCAACUUUGUUGUGGAUAAUCGGGAAGUAUGGUUUUUAUAUCCCAUCGCUGCCCCCGCAACGGUAAUGAGCUUAACUCACGUUUAACUCUAGCCCGGAGACCGGCCUUUAAUUUGCUAAUUCUA
rnacentral:ncRNA from 16 species